rnacentral:rRNA from 1 species
CCAGACUCCUACGGGAGGCAGCAGUGGGGAAUAUUGCACAAUGGGCGCAAGCCUGAUGCAGCGACGCCGCGUGAGGGAUGACGGCCUUCGGGUUGUAAACCUCUUUCAGUAGGGAAGAAGCGAAAGUGACGGUACCUGCAGAAGAGCACCGGCUAACUACGUGCCAGCAGCCGCGGUAAUACGUAGGGUGCGAGCGUUAUCCGGAAUUAUUGGGCGUAAAGAGCUCGUAGGCGGUUUGUCACGUCUGUCGUGAAAGUCCGGGGCUUAACCCCGGAUCUGCGGUGGGUACGGGCAGACUAGAGUGCAGUAGGGGAGACUGGAAUUCCUGGUGUAGCGGUGGAAUGCGCAGAUAUCAGGAGGAACACCGAUGGCGAAGGCAGGUCUCUGGGCUGUAACUGACGCUGAGGAGCGAAAGCAUGGGGAGCGAACAGGAUUAGAUACCCUGGUAGUCCAUGCCGUAAACGUUGGGCACUAGGUGUGGGGACCAUUCCACGGUUCCGCGCCGCAGCUAACGCAUUAAGUGCCCCGCCUGGGGAGUACGGCCGCAAGGCUAAAACUCAAAGGAAUUGACGGGGGCCCGCACAAGCGGCGGAGCAUGCGGAUUAAUUCGAUGCAACGCGAAGAACCUUACCAAGGCUUGACAUGUUCUCGAUCGCCAUAGAGAUACGGUUUCCCUUUGGGGGCGGGUCACAGGUGGUGCAUGGUUGUCGUCAGCUCGUGUCGUGAGAUGUUGGGUUAAGUCCCGCAACGAGCGCAACCCUCGUUCCAUGUUGCCAGCACGUCGUGGUGGGGACUCAUGGGGACUGCCGGGGUCAACUCGGAGGAAGGUGAGGACGACGUCAAAUCAUCAUGCCCCUUAUGUCUUGGCUUCACGCAUGCUACAAUGGCCGGUACAAUGGGUUGCGAUACUGUGAGGUGGAGCUAAUCCCAAAAAGCCGGUCUCAGUUCGGAUUGGGGUCUGCAACUCGACCCCAUGAAGUCGGAGUCGCUAGUAAUCGCAGAUCAGCAACGCUGCGGUGAAUACGUUCCCGGGCCUUGUACACACCGCCCGUCAAGUCACGAAAGUCGGUAACACCCGAAGCCGGUGGCCUAACCCUUGUGGGGGGAGCCGUCGAAGGUGGGACCAGCGAUUGGGACUAAGUCGUAACAAGGUAGCCGUACCGAAGGUGCGGCUGGAUCACCUCCUUUCUAAGGA